GAAGCCUCUUGUUCCAUAAAGCUUACUUUUAGUGGGGAAGACAAUUACAAGUUGAGAUAAAUGCUGGAACAAAAGCAAGGGGCUGGGAUAGAGAAUAGGAGCCACUUUCCAUGGAGCUGGCAGGGAGAAUGUUUUUGAGGAGACGCUGAAGUCAAAUGGAUGAGGAGACAGCCUGGGGGAAAGCCAGGCAGACACCUUCCAGUUUGAGAGCAGUAUGUGCUGAGGCCCUGAAAAAGGAUAGAAUCACCAGAGUUUAACAGAUAUAGAGCCAUCCUUGAGAAAAACUACAUUUCCCAACCACCCUUGCAGUUAAGUGCAGGCCUGAGUCCUGCCUGACCAAUGGGAUGGUCAUUAUGAACUUAUGGUUUUAAACAUAUCUGACAUGCUUUAAUCCAUCGCAAUUACAACAAUACUCAAACUGCCCCAUCUUUAGCAAGAAAGAGCUUCCUCCCAGUGGAUCCCAAGUCCUUUCUUUCUACAAGCUUGCAGUAGUCUUUGACAACAAGAUGUUCCAGGCUUCUCUUGUACACUUUCUGUCCCAAGCCUGCAAUCAGCCGUUUGGAGUCCACUGGAUAUCAGAAGACCACAGGCUGAGCUUGGCUGCCUCGUGGGAGAGUUUCUUCAUGUUUCUCAGAUGAACAACAUGGAAAUCAGGGCAGGGUUUCUCUUGCCUAAUUCUGCAACAGAUACUCUGUCCAGGGGU